rnacentral:rRNA from 1 species
UUAAGCGACUAAGCGUACACGGUGGAUGCCCUGGCAGUCAGAGGCGAUGAAGGACGUGCUAAUCUGCGAUAAGCGUCGGUAAGGUGAUAUGAACCGUUAUAACCGGCGAUUUCCGAAUGGGGAAACCCAGUGUGAUUCGUCACACUAUCAUUAACUGAAUCCAUAGGUUAAUGAGGCGAACCGGGGGAACUGAAACAUCUAAGUACCCCGAGGAAAAGAAAUCAACCGAGAUUCCCCCAGUAGCGGCGAGCGAACGGGGAGCAGCCCAGAGCCUGAAUCAGUGUGUGUGUUAGUGGAAGCGUCUGGAAAGGCGCGCGAUACAGGGUGACAGCCCCGUACACAAAAAUGCACAUGCUGUGAGCUCGAUGAGUAGGGCGGGACACGUGGUAUCCUGUCUGAAUAUGGGGGGACCAUCCUCCAAGGCUAAAUACUCCUGACUGACCGAUAGUGAACCAGUACCGUGAGGGAAAGGCGAAAAGAACCCCGGCGAGGGGAGUGAAAAAGAACCUGAAACCGUGUACGUACAAGCAGUGGGAGCACAGAGCAAUCUGUGUGACUGCGUACCUUUUGUAUAAUGGGUCAGCGACUUAUAUUCUGUAGCAAGGUUAACCGAAUAGGGGAGCCGAAGGGAAACCGAGUCUUAACUGGGCGUUAAGUUGCAGGGUAUAGACCCGAAACCCGGUGAUCUAGCCAUGGGCAGGUUGAAGGUUGGGUAACACUAACUGGAGGACCGAACCGACUAAUGUUGAAAAAUUAGCGGAUGACUUGUGGCUGGGGGUGAAAGGCCAAUCAAACCGGGAGAUAGCUGGUUCUCCCCGAAAGCUAUUUAGGUAGCGCCUCGUGAAUUCAUCUCCGGGGGUAGAGCACUGUUUCGGCAAGGGGGUCAUCCCGACUUACCAACCCGAUGCAAACUGCGAAUACCGGAGAAUGUUAUCACGGGAGACACACGGCGGGUGCUAACGUCCGUCGUGAAGAGGGAAACAACCCAGACCGCCAGCUAAGGUCCCAAAGUCAUGGUUAAGUGGGAAACGAUGUGGGAAGGCCCAGACAGCCAGGAUGUUGGCUUAGAAGCAGCCAUCAUUUAAAGAAAGCGUAAUAGCUCACUGGUCGAGUCGGCCUGCGCGGAAGAUGUAACGGGGCUAAACCAUGCACCGAAGCUGCGGCAGCGACGCUGAUGCGUUGUUGGGUAGGGGAGCGUUCUGUAAGCCUGCGAAGGUGUGCUGUGAGGCAUGCUGGAGGUAUCAGAAGUGCGAAUGCUGACAUAAGUAACGAUAAAGCGGGUGAAAAGCCCGCUCGCCGGAAGACCAAGGGUUCCUGUCCAACGUUAAUCGGGGCAGGGUGAGUCGACCCCUAAGGCGAGGCCGAAAGGCGUAGUCGAUGGGAAACAGGUUAAUAUUCCUGUACUUGGUGUUACUGCGAAGGGGGGACGGAGAAGGCUAUGUUGGCCGGGCGACGGUUGUCCCGGUUUAAGCGUGUAGGCUGGUUUUCCAGGCAAAUCCGGAAAAUCAAGGCUGAGGCGUGAUGACGAGGCACUACGGUGCUGAAGCAACAAAUGCCCUGCUUCCAGGAAAAGCCUCUAAGCAUCAGGUAACAUCAAAUCGUACCCCAAACCGACACAGGUGGUCAGGUAGAGAAUACCAAGGCGCUUGAGAGAACUCGGGUGAAGGAACUAGGCAAAAUGGUGCCGUAACUUCGGGAGAAGGCACGCUGAUAUGUAGGUGAAGUCCCUCGCGGAUGGAGCUGAAAUCAGUCGAAGAUACCAGCUGGCUGCAACUGUUUAUUAAAAACACAGCACUGUGCAAACACGAAAGUGGACGUAUACGGUGUGACGCCUGCCCGGUGCCGGAAGGUUAAUUGAUGGGGUCAGCGCAAGCGAAGCUCUUGAUCGAAGCCCCGGUAAACGGCGGCCGUAACUAUAACGGUCCUAAGGUAGCGAAAUUCCUUGUCGGGUAAGUUCCGACCUGCACGAAUGGCGUAAUGAUGGCCAGGCUGUCUCCACCCGAGACUCAGUGAAAUUGAACUCGCUGUGAAGAUGCAGUGUACCCGCGGCAAGACGGAAAGACCCCGUGAACCUUUACUAUAGCUUGACACUGAACAUUGAGCCUUGAUGUGUAGGAUAGGUGGGAGGCUUUGAAGUGUGGACGCCAGUCUGCAUGGAGCCGACCUUGAAAUACCACCCUUUAAUGUUUGAUGUUCUAACGUUGACCCGUA